CUUAGUUGCCAUCAUUCAGUUGGGCACUCUAAGUUGACUGCCGGUGACAAACCGGAGGAAGGUGGGGAUGACGUCAAAUCAUCAUGCCCCUUAUGAUUUGGGCUACACACGUGCUACAAUGGACAAUACAAAGGGCAGCGAAACCGCGAGGUCAAGCAAAUCCCAUAAAGUUGUUCUCAGUUCGGAUUGUAGUCUGCAACUCGACUACAUGAAGCUGGAAUCGCUAGUAAUCGUAGAUCAGCAUGCUACGGUGAAUACGUUCCCGGGUCUUGUACACACCGCCCGUCACACCACGAGAGUUUUUAACACCCGAAGCCGGUGGAGUAACCAUUUUGGAGCUAGCCGUCGAAGGUGGGACAAAUGAUUGGGGUGAAGUCGUAACAAGGUAGCCGUAUCGGAAGGUGCGGCUGGAUCACCUCCUUU
rnacentral:rRNA from 1 species